AACGAACGCUGGCGGCAGGCCUAACACAUGCAAGUCGAACGUGAAGCCACCUUCGGGUGGUGGAAAGUGGCAGACGGGUGAGUAACGCGUGGGAACGUGCCUUUCGGUUCGGAAUAACCCAGGGAAACUUGGGCUAAUACCGGAUACGCCCUCCGGGGGAAAGAUUUAUCGCCGAAAGAUCGGCCCGCGUCGGAUUAGCUAGUUGGUGGGGUAAUGGCUCACCAAGGCGACGAUCCGUAGCUGGGCUGAGAGGAUGACCAGCCACACUGGGACUGAGGCACGGCCCAGACUCCUACGGGAGGCAGCAGUGGGGAAUAUUGGACAAUGGGCGAAAGCCUGAUCCAGCCAUGCCGCGUGGGUGAAGAAGGCCCUAGGGUUGUAAAUCCCUUUCAGCGGGGAAGAUAAUGACGGUACCCGCAGAAGAAGCCCCGGCUAACUCCGUGCCAGCCGCCGCGGUAAAAC
rnacentral:rRNA from 1 species